AUUGAACGCUGGCGGCAGGCCUAACACAUGCAAGUCGAGCAGAUGAAGGGAGCUUGCUCCUGGAUUCAGCGGCGGACGGGUGAGUAAUGCCUAGGAAUCUGCCUGGUAGUGGGGGAUAACGUCCGGAAACGGGCGCUAAUACCGCAUACGUCCUGAGGGAGAAAGUGGGGGAUCUUCGGACCUCACGCUAUCGGAUGAGCCUAGGUCGGAUUAGCUAGUUGGUGGGGUAAAGGCCUACCAAGGCGACGAUCCGUAACUGGUCUGAGAGGAUGAUCAGUCACACUGGAACUGAGACACGGUCCAGACUCCUACGGGAGGCAGCAGUGGGGAAUAUUGGACAAUGGGCGAAAGCCUGAUCCAGCCAUGCCGCGUGUGUGAAGAAGGUCUUCGGAUUGUAAAGCACUUUAAGUUGGGAGGAAGGGCAGUAAGUUAAUACCUUGCUGUUUUGACGUUACCAACAGAAUAAGCACCGGCUAACUUCGUG
rnacentral:rRNA from 1 species